UACGAGAGGCGCAAACGUUAUUCGGAUUUACUGGGCUUAAAGAGUUCGUAGGCGGCGCAGAAAGUAGGGUGUGAAAGCCCUCGGCUCAACCGAGGAAUUGCGCUCUAAACUACUGUGCUUGAGGAAGCUAGAGGUGAGCGGAACUGAUGGUGGAGCGGUGAAAUGCGUUGAUAUCAUCAGGAACACCGGUGGCGAAGGCGGCUUGCUGGGCCAGUUCUGACGCUGAGGAGCGAAAGCGUGGGGAGCGAACAGG
rnacentral:rRNA from 1 species